UUUCGCAAUGCCCGAAAGGGUGACGAAGCGACGCCGCGUGGGUGAGGAAGGCCUUCGGGUUGUAGAGCCCUGUCAGGAGUUAGGAAAUGUAGGUGCGCUAAUAUCGUGCCUAUUUGACAAAGGCUCCAAAGGAAGCCACGGCUAACUCUGUGCCAGCAGCCGCGGUAAUACAGAGGUGGCAAGCGUUGUUCGGAAUUAUUGGGCGUAAAGAGCACGUAGGUGGAUUUGUAAGUCAGAUGUGAAAGCCUUCUGUUCAACGGGAGAAUCGCAUCUGAAACUACAAACCUUGAGUAUAGGAGGGGAGAAUGGAACUUCUGGUGGAGCGGUGAAAUGCGUAGAUAUCAGAAGGAACGCCGGCGGCGAAAGCGAUUCUCUGGCCUAUUACUGACACUCAGUGUGCGAAAGCUAGGGGAGCAAACGGGAUUAGAUACCCCGGUAGUCCUAGCCGUAAACGAUGGGCACUAAGUAGAGGGGUUUU
rnacentral:rRNA from 1 species